AGAACGGUCGCCGCGUCGCCUCAGCACGGACCUCCAGGGAGCUCCUCAGCAAGAUCCUGCCAGGGCGCCCCUCAGCGCGAUUCUGCCGGGGUGCCUCUCAGCGUGGUCCUCCCCGGGGCUCCUCAGCACGAUUCUCCCGCACUAUUCACAACAGCAAAGAUAUGGACUCAGGAACCUAAGUGUACAUCAGUGGAUAAAUGGAAAAAGAAAAUGAGGUAAAUAUAUACAAUGGAAUACUAAUUGACCAAAGAAGAAUGAAAUCAUGUCCUUUGCAGCAACAUGAAUGGAGCUGGAGGUCAUUAUUUUAAGCCAGGCACAGAAAGAUAAUUAUCUUAUGUUAUUAUCAUAUGUGGGAGCUAUAAAAGUUGAUCUCAUGGAGGUAGAGAGUAGAAGGAUAGAUACCAAAGGCUGUGAAAGGUAUGUCUGGAGGGUGAAGAGAGGUUGGUUAGUGGGUAAAAAUACACAGCUAGUUAGAAUAAAUAAUUUAUAAUGUUUGAUAAGAGUUGGUUGACUAUAUUUAACAAUAUAAUGUAUAUUUCAAAAUAAAAAAGAGGACUUGAAAUGUUCCUAACUAUAGAGAUGAUAAAUUGAGGGUGAUGGAUACCCUGACUUGAUCAUUACACAUUCGAUGCAUGUAACAAUAGCACAUGUACCCCAUAAGUAUUAUGUAUCGGUCAAAAAAAAAAAAAAAA
rnacentral:lncRNA from 1 species